GAUGAACGCUGGCGGUAUGCUUAACACAUGCAAGUCGAACGGACUCUUCGGAGUUAGUGGCGGACGGGUGAGUAACGCGUGAGAAUCUGGCUUUGGGUUCGGGACAACCACUGGAAACGGUGGCUAAUACCGGAUGUGCCGAGAGGUAAAAGAGAAAUUGCCUGAAGAUGAGCUCGCGUCUGAUUAGCUAGUUGGUGAGGUAAAGGCUCACCAAGGCAGCGAUCAGUAGCUGGUCUGAGAGGAUGACCAGCCACACUGGGACUGAGACACGGCCCAGACUCCUACGGGAGGCAGCAGUGGGGAAUUUUCCGAAAGGGGCGAAAGCCUGACGGAGCAAUACCGCGUGAGGGAAGAAGGCUCUUGGGUUGUAAACCUCUUUUCUUAGGGAAGAACAAAAUGACGGUACCUAAGGAAUCAGCAUCGGCUAACUCCGUG
rnacentral:rRNA from 1 species